rnacentral:lncRNA from 1 species
CUGAGCCAGGCUUUGGCCGGGGCCUGUGGACGGCAGCCAUCAGCACUUCGGCUCAGCAGGUACAGAGCUGACCCCAACUCUAGGGGACAAGGACUCAGUCAGGCCUGAACUUGUCUCCAAACUUUCUGUCCCCGAAAGCCUUCUGGGCACAGCUGCCAACCUGGGCUCCCAGGAGGGUGGGGGGCAGGGUCUCCGGGGGCCACAAACAGACCCCACCGGCCCCCUUGCUUCUUGACGUGUUUCACGAAGACCUGAGCAGAAGCUUCCCUGAGCCAGACGUGGGGAGACGAGGGCGGACCCUGCACAUCCCUGCCCCCUCCUGCCUUGGUGACCCCCGAGGACUCACACCCAGAGGCUUCCUGAGCCACUUGCUGCCCAGCAUACCAUGGCAUCUACCUCCGAGCCCCCAACCGACCCUGCCUGACCCUGCACAGGCAGAAGACUCCAAAUCCCCCACGGCCCACCCUGAGGCCCCUGGAAAUAGCCUCCAAGGGCAGCUCCCAGGUCACCAAGCCUCCCGGCCCACCCUUCCUGUGCCACCUGGAACCCACCCAGGGAGAUGGAAUCGGCAGCUCCUGCCAAUGCCCUUGGGGCUCACGCUCUCUGGGCACCAUGAUGUCCUGGGCUGGGGGUCCGGGCGGCAUGGGGGCCGCUCCAACCUGCAUUUUCUAGCCACGUGGACCCGUACGCUCCAGCUCCUGGGUCUGGGUUUGGGGGGCUGAGCCUGUGUGUGAUGUGCGCCUGUGUGCGUGUCUGAGUGGGUCAGUCCCGGCUUACUGAGUGCUGUGUGCGUGAGUGGGUUUGUGCACAGGCCGCCAGUGUGUCUGUGAGGGGCAGGUGACGGUGCCACCCCGUGCCUACAUACCACACAUCCAGUGGGGUCAACACCACGGUCUGCCUGGGAGUCAGCACUGGUCAUUUCCACAAACCCAAGCUGGGACUAGGGAGAGAACUGGGCCUUUGGCUCUUCACCCUGGGAGGGAGUCCAGGGGACCCAGGCAGGAGACACACAGGGCUCAGGGUUCCUCACCCAGAGCCUCCGAGGCUUCUACCCACCCUCCUGUGCCGUUGUCUCUCUUGAGAGGCCAGGGACACGUGUCACACUGCACGGGGAACGUCAGCCCCAGCCCUCCGUCUGCACGAGUCACACUGCACGGGGAACGUCAGCCCCAGCCCUUCGUCUGCACGAGUCACACUGCAUGGGGGACGUCAGCCCCAGCCCUCCGUCUGCACGAGUCACACUGCACGGGGGACGUCAGCCCCAGCCCUCCGUCUGCACGUCUGCCUGGUGCACGAACAUGUGUGCACGCCAGGGCCUGAGGCCCACAGCCAGAGGCUCCUCGGUCCGGCAGACCGGCAUCCCUUCGAGUUGGCGCUCUGCAGGGAGGAGGGGCUGGCCUGGCUGGAGCCCAGAGCGUUGGGUCACGUGAGGACUCAGGGGUGGCAUCUGUGGAUGGCGUGCAGCUUCUCCCGCAGCGUGGCGAAGGAGGGCCGUUCCUCGGGGCUGCUCCUCCAGCACUCCAGCAUGAGCACGUAGACCUCCGCCGGGCAGGCAGCCGGGCGCGGCAGCCGGUACCCUCGCAUGAUCUGCUGCAGCGUCUCGUGGUUGGUCAUCCCUGGGAGGCGCGGGGCAAGAGCUGCCUCGAUUCUGCCUGGGGGUCCCUAUGGAGGAGGCCUCCUGUAGCCCCCCAUGUCAUCUGCCUGCCCUUGGCCAGACCCUCCAACCCCUUGCCGACAGCGUCCAGGCCCGGGGCCAGUGACUCCUGGGCAGAGCCUGCAUCCUCCCUCUGGCUGCCUGGGGACCCACCUUCAUAGGGACACUGGCCAUAGGUGAAAACCUCGUGCAGCAGGACGCCGAA